rnacentral:rRNA from 1 species
AUAUCAAUAAGCGGAGGAAAAGAAACCAACAGGGAUUGCCUCAGUAACGGCGAGUGAAGCGGCAACAGCUCAAAUUUGAAAUCUGGCUCCUUCGGAGCCCGAGUUGUAAUUUGUAGAGGAUGCUUCGGCUUGAUUUCCGGGCUAAGUUCCUUGGAACAGGACGUCAUAGAGGGUGAGAAUCCCGUAUGUGCCCGGCAAAGCUCGCCAUGUGAAGCUCCUUCGACGAGUCGAGUUGUUUGGGAAUGCAGCUCUAAAUGGGAGGUAAAUUUCUCCUAAAGCUAAAUAUUGGCCAGAGACCGAUAGCGCACAAGUAGAGUGAUCGAAAGAUGAAAAGCACUUUGAAAAGAGAGUCAAAAAGUACGUGAAAUUGUUGAAAGGGAAGCGCUUGCAACCAGACCUGACCGCAGUUGCUCAUCCGGGCUCUGCCCGGUGCACUCUUCUGUGGCCAGGCCAGCAUCGGUUUGGGCGGUCGUAUAAAGGCCGCGGGAAUGUGGCUCCUCUCGGGGAGUGUUAUAGCCCGCGGUGCAAUGCGGCCAGCCCAGACCGAGGACCGCGCUCCGGCUAGGAUGCUGGCGUAAUGGUUGUAAGCGG